AGAGAUGCGCCAGGUCUUGAUCCCCUUCUGCUCCCGCAUUGCAUUCCACCUGCUCAAACCACUCAGCAGGGAGGAGCCAUGCUGGGAUCUGCCCUUCCUGGCUUUCCUUGUGGAGGUGAGCCUGACGGCCAGCGCUGCCUCGCUGAGCUGCCUCCCGCCUCUCUGCCCUCUCGUAGCCGCAGCUGCCUGGGACGGUGCCCGCGCCCUGCGCUGCUGCCUGGGCCCAGCCCUGGGCGGUUCCGGGCUCCUGCCGGCCGGCUCCCCUGUCACUGCCCUGUGCCUUUCAGCUCCUCGAGUGCCUGGACUUAAGUAAAUAUGGUGACAGCAUCCUGGAGAUCAUGUCCAGGUACCUGCUGAGCGAGUGCAGGCAGAGAUGUCGCCUGGCACUCAGAGGCCUCGUGGUGCUCAGCAAGGAUCCCGCCAUGGCCAGAAGAAUGGGCAGCCUGUCUCAACGGCUUGUGGAGCUGCUGGGUGAUGCAGAUGGAGAGGUGGUCAGGAUGUCCCUCUCUGUGUUCAUGAAUGUGCUGGAGAACAAAGACAUCCUGGUAUCCAGCACCACUGCCCCGAAACUGGCUGAGGCACUCUUGCCACUCUUUGAAAAUGUAAGGCUCUGUGCCCCCAGCCACUGACACUGGCUGCUGCCCAGACACUUUGUGCCCUGUGGAUUUUUAGGCCGUUGCCCACAUGGGCUGGAGAAGUUGCUGCUGAGGUUUUUUCCUUUACUCCAGGACAACAGCAAUGUGCAGAUGCUCUCCAUUCGCCUCUUCUGCAAGGUGAUGGAGUUGGUAGUGGACGAGGGAAAAACGCCCCUUAAGACAAUUGUGUGCCAGAGCCUACUCCCACUUUUAUUCCACUGCCAUGAUGAGAACCGGAACGUGGCAGAGGCUUCUCGGGAAACGCUGAUUUGUGCGGCCAAGUUCCUGAAGAGGAGAAAUCUUGGGCAGCUGGUGAAGAAGGAGCAGCUGUCGAAGUUUGCCGAGUGCCUGCUGGCAGAGGACAGGAGCCGAGCGGCCGAGCGCCUGCACCAGGCGCUGCCGUUCGUGGAGAGCCCGCAGGAGUCCCUGCGAGAGGCGGCCGUCAGGUUCAUCGGGGCUGCCAGGGUGUUCUUGAGGGGGCACAAGGAAGAGCUCCAGCUCCUCAGUGAGGCCCUUCAAGCCCUGAGGAGAGACGACAGCCCUUCCCAGACAAACAUUAUAGUUCAGGAAAUACUCAACGAAAGAGCUGCAGAACUACGUUCAUCUGCUGGCUCAGAACCAGUGUCCCUUUAAGACCUCCAGAUAUCCUGGAAGAUGAGACCAUCUGGAGACUAGAGUAGAGCAGCUGGAGCUCCAGGCACAGCUGAUGCUGGUCACAGCUGAGCCUGUGGAAAGCUCCCAUAGCUCCUGCCCUCUCCCUCCCUUUUGACAGCUCCAUCCCUCCAGCCCUCAGACCCUGCCCAUCCCCUUUUUUCCUCCCAGCUGAUCCCUUCACUUCGCUUCC
rnacentral:lncRNA from 1 species